AAGCUGAAUAAAUAACCAUAUUAAUAAAGGCCAAUAUUUGUCCGAGAUAGGCCUACAGCUAUUUGAAAAUCUGCAAUCCGAGGUUGCAAAAAAAUCAAAAUAUUGAGAAAAUCGCCUUUAAAGUUGUCCAAAUUAAGUUUUUAAUAAUACUAGUGAUUCUAACCGACAGCAUUUGAACGAUAUACUGUUACUAUGGUUACCUUAGUGAGCGUAGCUUCUCGCAAGAGUCUAUUUGCACUUUAACUUAAAUUUAUAAAUAGCUAACGAUACUUAAGAUUUGUCUGUGUAGGCUACAGUGCGAAUAAAAGAUACUUCAAAAAAAGCGUUAGCGGCUUAUUAACUUGUUAACUGAACUUUUAUUGUAGGACGUUCGAAAACGCAUUAACCUAUAUUCUACACUAUAUAGUAGGUAUUUUAAGAUUAACAUUAACAUUUUUGUCUGUUUUAUUGAUAUCAUUUUACGGUUAACACUAUUUCUAUUAAUAUAUUUUUAAAGUAACUGAUUUACAGAAGGGUUUUUGACAAGUUCCAGAUAAACAAAUGGAAGAGGAAAGUGAUUAUGUAAAGUUAGCAUAAUCACAGCAUAAAAUCUGUAUUUUGCAUAGUCAUUUCAAGAGGGGGUUCCACCCCACCAGUAGAUUGCGCAGAGGUGCACCAUCUCUCUCGUCUGUCUGAAGGAGUAUUUCUGCUGUAGGUGGUGGUAUUCAAUUCACUACGCUUCCAGCAGAUGCUGAGUUCAUUCUCCAGUGGAAAAAUGGAGCUGGAUAACAUCACCGGAGAUCACAUUGAGCUUUACGCGCUGACAAAACACCUCAUCUGAGCAAAUACAGUCAGUUUUCAUGUAUAAGUAUUUUAAAUGCUGUGAAACCGUUCAACAUGUGGAUUAAAAUACUAUGGAUAUUUGUUCAAGUUUUGCUUGACACUUCAGUCGAAGCACAGCAUGUGGACCCUGAAGUGGGCUUAACAGCUCAGGAACAAGUUCUCCUGCUGUACGACAUCAAACUACAGUGCCUUCAGAACAUCUCCGAACACAAUCCUGCUGGUAAGACCUCACCUGUGGAUUCUGUUUGGUCCU
ensembl:lncRNA